rnacentral:rRNA from 1 species
GAUGAACGCUGGCGGCGUGCUUAACACAUGCAAGUCGAACGGUAAGGCCCUUCGGGGUACACGAGUGGCGAACGGGUGAGUAACACGUGGGUGAUCUGCCCUGCACUUCGGGAUAAGCCUGGGAAACUGGGUCUAAUACCGGAUAGGACCACUGCCUGCAUGGGUGGUGGUGGAAAGCUUUUGCGGUGUGGGAUGGGCCCGCGGCCUAUCAGCUUGUUGGUGGGGUGAUGGCCUACCAAGGCGACGACGGGUGGCCGGCCUGAGAGGGUGACCGGCCACACGGGGACUGAGAUACGGCCCAGACUCCUACGGGAGGCAGCAGUGGGGAAUAUUGCACAAUGGGCGCAAGCCUGAUGCAGCGACGCCGCGUGAGGGAUGACGGCCUUCGGGUUGUAAACCUCUUUCAGCACCGACGAAGCGCAAGUGACGGUAGGUGCAGAAGAAGGACCGGCCAACUACGUGCCAGCCGCCGCGGUAA